rnacentral:rRNA from 1 species
CAGUAGCCGCGGGAAAACGAGGGGAGCUAGCGUUAUUCGGAACUACUGGGCGUAAGGCGCACGUAGGCGGCUUUGUAAGUUAGAGGUGAAAGCCCAGAGCUCAACUCUGGAAUUGCCUUUAAGACUGCAUCGCUUGAAUCCAGGAGAGGUGAGUGGAAUUCCGAGUGUAGAGGUGAAAUUCGUAGAUAUCGGAAGGAACACCUGUGGCGAAAGCGGCUCACUGGACCAUAACUGACGCUGAUGCACGAAAGCUAGGGGAGCAAACAGGAUUAGAUACCCGCGUAGUCCCUGUCUCUUAUAC